GUUUGCUUUAAUUUAGAUUAAAAUUUGAAUUUUAAUCUUUAUCGAACUGGGGCUAAAUAUGUUUGCUCGAAUUGCUGAAAUAUUUUUACAAUAAAUUAAAGGAAAAUUCUACUUGUACAUAAUUAUUGCACAUAAUGGUAUCCAUAAUUUGAUGUGUCAAUCAUCCGGUUGUUGAUGUGCAAAUGUAAUAUUUGAAUUAAAUGUUGAAUCCAAUGUCACGUGUAAUUAUGAACACCAUUAUGUAAAUAAUUAUGUACAUGUAGCACUACCUUAAAUUAAAACAGGAAAAAAAAUCCCUAAAACAUAAAAUUUAUUGGCCCAAGGGCCUCUGAGACUUUACAAAAGUCCAAUAUUCUCAUUCAUCCCCCAGAAGCCCAGUACGGCGACCUUUUCACCGUCCAGAUCAAGCAUUGGAUUUAGAUGGAACUGAACUGAAAAAUGGAGGAAAAACAGGAAAUCCCCGUAGGCGGUGGCGUUGUCAGUGGUGUAGCGGAGUACUGGUGGUGGGCCACCGCAAGCACGGGCCAAUUAACCUGGGCGGUUUCCAUUUAUAGAAAAGGCUACGCCGGCGACUGUCGUCUCAUGCCCUUUAAAGCCUUUGCUGUCGCUUCCCUCUUUAUUGGUGCCACCGCCACCGCCGCCGUUGCCUCCCUUCGCGCCUCUGGUAUCAAAUCCGUAUGUACUCUGGACUCUGUACUCUUGCUCUUUAUACAUUCAUUAAUAGAAGUUUAACUCUUGAGAGAAAUUUGUCUGAAAAGAAACGAUUAUUAUUGUUACGUUGGUAUGAUUUCAUAGAUGCAGUAAUAACUAAUCUAUGAUUAUUUUGCAUUAUCUAAAGAGUUAUUUUGGCUGCUUAUCUAGCAGUUGGAAUUGGUUACUUUUAUUUUUGCAAAAUUACACUUGCAAUGAUUAGUAGUGCAAAUUCUUUAGGAAUGGAUUAUCAAAGGGAAAACCUUUAAAGUUUAAUUUCUGCUGUCAUUCAAUUGAAAAACUAGUAACUUUUUGGGUUCGAUUAUAUAGUUCAACUUAUAAUUUGGUGAUUUAAAAGUUGUUAAGUCCUUAGAAUUUGACAUCUUUUGAAUCAGUAUAUGAUUUCUGAUAACAUAUAGAGGCUAUUUUAAGAAGAGAUCAUGGAAUGCUGAGUCCGAGGUAAUCAUCCCAAAUACGGAUGCUCUUACUUUAUACAUCUACUGGAUAGUAUAAAGAUCUAACUUCAGAGAGAAUUGAGUUUUAUGUAUCAUAUAAUAGAUUAGAGUAUGUAUUGGCUAACUUGUAGCAGCAUUUCACAAUAGACUAAAUAAAUUUGUUAGAGAAGCAGAAAUGGACUAAAUUAACUUGGGUUGUCUUGAUCACAAAGGAUUUUGAUUUCUUUAGAUCUUUAGAUAGAUGUAGUGUUUGACUGAUUGGAGUUGCGAAAUGGGAUCUGAAGCUGCUGUCUUCAGAUCUAUUGCUAAUAAAACUUAGUUUAUGGUGGUUUUGGAUGAGGGAGGGAGGGGGUGGUUGGUGCUCUACCAUUGCCAGGUUGCUGUUUUGGCCAAGGUGAGCUGAAAUUUUUUUUUUUUUUUAGGGUUAGUUCCAGGAAAGGUCUUUAUGAAAUUGAAAUUUUGGAAAAUGAUGCUAGUAGAGUUUCAAUUAUGUGCACAUAAUAUUAACCAAGUAUGGAAAUGCUGCACAUAAUAUUAACCAAGUAUGGAAAUGCUAUAACUGUUUGCAUAUUGAUCUAUGGUGUUGUAAAUUGCAUCAUUAAGUCGAGCAUUUUAAGUUUAUAUCUGAAACCUAAUGAAGAGUUUGGUAAUCAUGAACUUUACCGUAAUGAGAAGAUGUCUAUUUAGGUUGAGUUUCUUCUGUUUUGGUGUCUGAACUCUUCCUCAUUUCCAAAUUUCUCUGCUGCUCUGUUCUGCUGAAUUCAUAGGACUUGAGUUAUGGGAUACUAUCGUCAUUUUUUUUAUAAUAAAAAUUUGGAAUUUACCAAAAAACCAAAAGAAUUCUUCAUUUUCUGUCAUACAAAAGAAUUAAAUAAGGAAUAAAUAAAACCAGAUUCACUCUGGUAUGGCUCCACCAAAUCUGGACAAGCGGAUUUCACACAAACUAGCUUCUAUAUGGCUGGAGUUGGGCAUAUAAAAUUUCGUUACAAACAUCUAAGUACGCUCAUCCUUUAGUAAAAANNACUCAUUGUCCUGUAUUUCACAUGACAAACGGUAUUAACCACUUCAGUUCACUCAACCAUUCUACAGAAAUUUAAUUGAGUGAUCAUAAUUUGUAAACUAAAUAAAUAGACAAGGAGAAAUUCUAUAGCUACCAAUCCUUUUUAGGUAGUAAAAUUUGAAUGAUUUAGCAUUCAACAGAAAUAUGCUCAAUAAUGACAAUGAAAAAAAAAUAAAGAAAGAAAAGAGAGAAACACCAGCCUUGCUCCUAUCUUUUCUCCGUCUGAAAUGGUAGCAUCAGCUGUCUAUAUAUUUUCUCACGAUAAUUUCAAGUGAUCUUAUUAUCAGUUAAAAAAAAUUGUAGAAUAUAUGAGAGAUUAGCAAUUAUGUAUAGGAGCAAGCAUCAUCUUGGAUGAAAUUUUCUUCUCAUUUAGCUUCAACUUGCCUUGCAAUUAUAAGUAACUAUAUUUGAUUUUUCUCGGGGAGUUUUUUUAUUGCGUAACCACACCCUUCUUUAAAAUUUGUAGGUCGAAGACAUGAAGCUUGCUGGUACAAAUAUAAGGAACCGACUAGGAAUACGUCCAAGACCAUGAGAUGAGUAGAUGCAGCUUUUGAAGAUUCUUGUAUAUCUGUAGCUUCUUCUCAUUUUCACUGGCGCUGUUUUACAACCCGGUUUUGUUUUUAAAUCGUUUUCCAGCGUCAAUCUUUACUAUGGGAGACCAUCAACAUGCAGUAAAGAUGAAUUGCUUUGUAAAGCAGAGACUCUAUGCAACCAAAAACUUUAGUUAAUACUAGUCUUUGCCCGUGUAAUGCACGGCCUUGGACAUUUUAAAGCUAAUGUUAGUGUAUUCAAUGUAUAAGUAUUGACGGGAGAUACGUGCAUUGAUUGAACAAAGGCUAUUAUUUUUUAACAGGUUUAAAGUACUCGAAAGAAAUAACAUCACAAACUGUGGUUAUUUUCAAGGAUUCAAGAGCAUAACUGAAAGGAAGCAAAUUUAAACGCUAUUGUUCAACAAAAGUCAAAUCUUGAAAAUGUCUCUAAAAUAAAAAGUCAUCAAUGCAUUUAAACGACCAGAUUUAGGAAUCAUAUCUUGUCAUACAAAAAAAAUCGAAUUCAUCAAGCUUUAGUCAACUACAAUACCUUUCAGUCAUCUUAGCCAUGGCUCGUAGUUGUUUGCUUUAUCACUAGAUCUCACAAAUCCAUAGCUCUUUGUACAUCUAGAUAUCUGAUCCAUGCCAUACUCAGUAAUAAAAUGUAAAUAUUUAUCAUUAGUUACCCAUGUGACCUAAAUGUGUUUAUCCCUACAAAGGAGAUGUGAACUUACAAAUGGCUAUUUGUACCAAAGAAUUUAGAAAAAUCAAUCAGACAUUGUACCAAUAAAGUAAUUUCAUCAAACAAAUUUC
rnacentral:lncRNA from 1 species